GGGAAUGAAGUAUUUCUGGGAUACUCUCUUGGAUGCAGACCUCGAGAGUGAUGCGCUUGGUUGGCAAUAUAUAUCUGGAACACUUCCUGAUAGCCGUGAAUUUGAUCGCAUUGACAAUCCACAGCUGGAAGGCUAUAAAUUUGACCCAAAUGGAGAAUAUGUUAGGAGAUGGCUUCCUGAACUUUCUAGAUUGCCCACUGAAUGGAUUCAUCACCCAUGGAAUGCACCAGAAUCUGUGCUCCAAGCUGCUGGGAUCGAGCUUGGAUCAAACUACCCCCUUCCUAUCGUAGGACUGGAUGCAGCUAAAGCUAGGUUGGAAGAAGCGCUGUCGGAGAUGUGGCAACAAGAAGCGGCUUCAAGGGCUGCAAUUGAGAAUGGAACUGAAGAGGGACUCGGGGACUCUUCUGAGUCAAUCCCAAUUGCAUUUCCUCAAGACAUAGCUAUGGAGGAGGAAGACCUUGAGCC
rnacentral:misc_RNA from 1 species